rnacentral:snoRNA from 2 species
GCCCUGUGGUUGCUAGGGGCUAUUGUUCAGGUACAGAACUCCAGUGGGUACAAUGGGCCACAGCAAUCCUGUGAUUUUUGCAUGGCAUCUGUGUUUCCUCAGCAGCUGUCAUAGGCCGGUCACUGCUACAUGG